GGACCCGCACAAGCGGUGGAGCAUGUGGUUUAAUUCGAAGCAACGCGAAGAACCUUACCAACUCUUGACAUCCCCCUGACCGGUACAGAGAUGUAUCUUCCCCUUCGGGGGCAGGGGUGACAGGUGGUGCAUGGUUGUCGUCAGCUCGUGUCGUGAGAUGUUGGGUUAAGUCCCGCAACGAGCGCAACCCUUGUCCUUAGUUGCCAGCAUUUAGUUGGGCACUCUAGGGAGACUGCCGGUGACAAACCGGAGGAAGGUGGGGAUGACGUCAAAUCAUCAUGCCCCUUAUGAGUUGGGCUACACACGUGCUACAAUGGACGGUACAAAGGGCAGCAAAGCCGCGAGGUGGAGCCAAUCCCAGAAAGCCGUUCUCAGUUCGGAUUGCAGGCUGCAACUCGCCUGCAUGAAGUCGGAAUCGCUAGUAA
rnacentral:rRNA from 1 species